rnacentral:rRNA from 1 species
GACAGAGGGGGCAAGCGUUGCUCGGAAUCACUGGGCGUAAAGAGCGUGUAGGCGGCCCGACAAGUCCGCCGUGAAAGUCCGAGGCUCAACCUCGGAAUGCCGGUGGAAACUGUCGGGCUUGAGUUCGGAAGAGGCGAGUGGAAUUCCUGGUGUAGCGGUGAAAUGCGCAGAUAUCAGGAGGAACACCAAUGGCGAAGGCAGCUCGCUGGGACGACACUGACGCUGAGACGCGAAAGCGUGGGGAGCGAUCCGG